rnacentral:rRNA from 1 species
AUUGAACGCUGGCGGAAUGCUUUACACAUGCAAGUCGAACGGCAGCACGGGGCAACCUGGUGGCGAGUGGCGAACGGGUGAGUAAUACAUCGGAACGUGCCCAAUCGUGGGGGAUAACGUAGCGAAAGUUACGCUAAUACCGCAUACGAUCUACGGAUGAAAGCGGGGGAUCGCAAGACCUCGCGCGAAUGGAGCGGCCGAUGUCAGAUUAGGUAGUUGGUGGGGUAAAGGCUCACCAAGCCAACGAUCUGUAGCUGGUCUGAGAGGACGACCAGCCAAACUGGGACUGAGACACGGCCCAGGCUCCUACGGGAGGCAGCAGUGGGGAAUUUUGGACAAUGGGCGCAAGCCUGAUCCAGCCAUUCCGCGUGCAGGAUGAAGGCCUUCGGGUUGUAAACUGCUUUUGUACGGAACGAAACGGCUCUCUCUAAUACCCUGUGUGGAUGACGGUACCGGAAUAAGAAGCACCGGCUAACUACGUGCCAGCAGCCGCCGCCGUAA